rnacentral:pre_miRNA from 9 species
UCUCGAUAGCGUAAAAGUGAACUCAAAUUUGUAUGGAGUUGGAACGUUUGCCUACGUUUACCGCUAGGGGUGCUGUUCCAACUGUAAACAAAUUUGAUCUUAAUUUUUACGCUAUAGG